rnacentral:rRNA from 1 species
UACGUAGGGUGCAAGCGUUGUCCGGAAUUAUUGGGCGUAAAGAGCUCGUAGGCGGCUUGUCGCGUCGUCCGUGAAAACCUGCAGCUCAACUGCAGGCUUGCGGUCGAUACGGGCAGGCUAGAGUUCGGUAGGGGAGACUGGAAUUCCUGGUGUAGCGGUGAAAUGCGCAGAUAUCAGGAAGAACACCAAUGGCGAAGGCAGCUCUCUGGGACGGUACUGACGCUGAGACGCGAAAGCGUGGGGAGCGAACAGG